rnacentral:rRNA from 1 species
GACGAACGCUGGCGGCGUGCUUAACACAUGCAAGUCGAACGGAAAGGCCCUGCUUGCAGGGUACUCGAGUGGCGAACGGGUGAGUAACACGUUGGUGAUCUGCCCUUCACUUCUUGUUAAGCCUUGGAAACUGGGUCUAAUUCCUGAUAGGAGCCAUUUUUAUUGUUAUUGUUGGAAAGUUUUUUCGGUGUUGGAUGAGCUGGCGGCCUAUCCGCUUGUUGGUGGGGUAAUGGCCUACCAAGGCGGCUACGGGUAGCCGGCCUGAGAGGGUGGACGGCCAAAUUGGGACUGAGAGACGGCACAGAAGCCUACGGGGGGCAGAAGUGGGGAAUAUUGCAAAAUGGGAGGAAGCCUGAUGCAGAGAAGCCGCGUGGGGGAUGACGGCCUUCGGGUUGAAAAAUAAUUUCGCUAGGGAAGAAGCUUUUUGUGACGGUACCUAGAGAAGAAGCACCGGCUAACUACGUG